CCUACGGGAGGCAGCAGUGGGGGAUAUUGCACAAUGGGCGAAAGCCUGAUCCAGCCACGUCGCGUGUGGGAAGAAGGUUUUCGGAUUUUAAACCACUUUUUUUGGUGAAGAUAAUGAUGGGAAGCAAGGAGAAAUCUCUGGCUAACGACGUGCCAGCAGCCGCGGUAAUACGUCGGGGGCAGGCGUUGUCCGGAUUGACUGGGUGUAAGGGGUGCGGAGGCGGUAUUGCAGGUCAGACGUGAAACCAACAGGCUCAACCUGCGGACUGCGGUUGAAACUGUGGGGCUUGAGUGAAGUAGAGGUGGGCGGAAUUCCCGGUGUAGCGGUGAAAUGCGUAGAGAGCGGGAGGAACACCAGUGGUGAAGGCGGCCUACUGGGCUUUAACUGACGCUGAGGCACGAAAGCAUGGGUAGCAAACAGGAUUAGAUACCCGUGUAGUC
rnacentral:rRNA from 1 species